GACGAACGCUGGCGGCGUGCUUAACACAUGCAAGUCGAACGAGACGAUUGAAAGCUUGCUUUUAAAAGUCGAGUGGCAAACGGGUGAGUAACGCGUAGACAACCUGCCUUUGAGAUGGGGACAACAGUUCGAAAGGACUGCUAAUACCGAAUGUUGUAUAUUUUCCACAUGGAAGAUAUAUUAAAGAUGGCCUCUAUUUAUAAGCUAUCGCUCAAAGAUGGGUCUGCGUCUGAGUAGCUGGUUGGUGGGGUAACGGCCUACCAAGGCGACGAACAGUAGCCGGUCUGAGAGGAUGAACGGCCACAUUGGGACUGAGACACGGCCCAGACUCCUACGGGAGGCAGCAGUGGGGAAUCUUCCACAAUGGACGAAAGUCUGAUGGAGCAACGCCGCGUGAGUGAAGAAGGGUUUCGGCUCGUAAAGCUCUGUUGUCGGGGACGAAUGUGCAGUAUUUGAAUAAAGUACUGCAAUGACGGUACCUGACGAGGAAGCCACGGCUAACUACGUGCCAGCCGCCGCGGUAA
rnacentral:rRNA from 1 species